AAUUUUUAACUCAAGUGAAAAUGAUUUAUAGCCAUUGUGUUAGAAGUCUCCAUUAUGAGUGGCUGAUGAGAUAUAUUUCAAACCUUACGGUAUUCAAGAAAAAAGGAACGUAAGUACUUAUAAAAGUCAACCCAAAACAAUUAGACCUUUUUAAUUUUUAAAAUGGUUAAAUUGUAAAUAUUAUUUGUUCGUAACAAAACAUAUAUAAAUGAUGUGAUUGGUUAAUCAAUAGAGUAAAAAGGUGGAAAAGAAAAGUGAAAGUAGGAUGAAACAAAACCAUGCCGUUGGCGUUAACUUUUCCACUUCAUCCAAGGUGAGAUAAACUUUACUCUACUUUAUUCUUAUUUUUGGAGUAUGGAAGAAUGAGAGUAAACCAGUUGAAGCUGAAAAGAUUUUUCAUCUUUUUCACUUUACACUAAUUAUACCAUACAGUCAGACUCAAAAUCUCAUAAUAAUAAGUUUAAAAUUUACAGAAAAUUAUUAAUACAUAAACAACUAAUUUGGUUAG
rnacentral:lncRNA from 1 species